CCUCAGUAGAAAUCGUGCCCAUGAGCCAGCCCAGUUCCGAGUAGCAGACAAGACUGGACCAAGGACUGGCCAGGGCCAUGGCUACAGUCCAGUGGCUGGCAAAGAGGAAAAACAAGACAGCAGUGAGCUCGAGAGCCUCUGGAAGCAAAGCCAGCUGCAUCCUCUUCGACCCCAGUUCUCCAAGCCCACGUGACCAUUCCCUUCUGCCCUUCCAUGCUAUUAAAAGCUAGGGGACUGGCUAUUGGCACCAGCUGCUUCUGAUGCCACUGAACUCUGCUGUCUUCCUAUAUACAAGGCAAAGGGACCCCUUUGGCCUCUAUCAGCCCCGCAGCCCCACUGCCCCAGCUCCCAUCCCAGUCCUCUUCCUCCUUAACCUUCUUCCCAGUCUUGCUUUCUCUACACCCUCCUUUCUUUCCUUUUCCACCUAAAAUCCUACCCUAGGCCCUUCCUCCUCCCACUUUCCAUUUAACA
rnacentral:lncRNA from 1 species